CCUAGACCAAACUACUUCACAGGGAGCUGGAGAAGAGGUUCUUGGAAACAUCAGAGGCCAGCUUCACAGGGGUGAGCAAGAGCACCCCUUCCCCCUGCUGUCACCCCUGUUUGGGUCUCUCUGCCUCACAGCCGCAGUUCUCUCCUCCUGGUACUUCGGCCAGGGUGCAAGGUGAAGCCAGGGAAAGAACGACAGGGCAAUCCUCCCUACUCCUCACUCCGUCCAGAAAUUCUUCAGAAGGCCACCCCCG
rnacentral:lncRNA from 1 species